rnacentral:rRNA from 1 species
CGUGGGUAACCUGCCUUAUAGUGGGGGAUAGCCUUUCGAAAGGAAGAUUAAUACCGCAUAAGAUUGUAGUAUCGCAUGAUAUAGCAAUUAAAGGAGCAAUUCGCUAUAAGAUGGACCCGCGUCGCAUUAGCUAGUUGGUGAGGUAAUGGCUCACCAAGGCGACGAUGCGUAGCCGACCUGAGAGGGUGAUCGGCCACAUUGGAACUGAGACACGGUCCAGACUCCUACGGGAGGCAGCAUG